rnacentral:rRNA from 1 species
GAUGAACGCUGGCGUCGUGCCUAAUACAUGCAAGUCGAGCUAAGCGGGAACGGGUGAGUAACACAUGGAUAACCUCCUAUAAGACUGGAAUAACUUCGGGAAAAAGGAUCUAAACCGAAUACUUAUAGAUUGCUCAUCCCUGCAUUAGCUAGUUGUUAAGUGAACGGCUUACCAAGGCAACGAUGCAUAGCCGACCUGAGAGGAUGAUGGGCCACACUGGGACGGAGACACGGUCCAUACUCCUACGGGAGGCAGGAGUAGAGAAUCUUCAGAAAUGGGCGCAAGCCUGACGGAGCAAGGCCGCGUGAGUGAUGAAGGUCUUCGGAUCGUAAAACUCUGUUAUUAGGGAAGCGGUCCCUAAUCAGAAAGCCACGGCUAACUACGUGCCAGCAGCCGCGGUAAUUC